ensembl:ncRNA R155.7 ncRNA
UAAGCCUACGCCUAGGCCUAAGUCAAAGCCUAUGCCUUAACAAAUGCCUAAGCCUGCGUCUAAGUCUAAGCGUAAGACUAAGACUAGGCCUAAGACUUGGCCUAUGUGUUGGUCUAAACCAAAGCCAAAGCCUAAGCCUAAGCCUAAA